GUGGACCUCGGAUCAGGUAGGGAUA
rnacentral:rRNA from 1 species